UACGAAGGGGGCGAGCGUUGUUCGGAAUCACUGGGCGUAAAGGGCGCGUAGGCGGCCCCUCUUAGUCGCGUGUGAAAGCCCCGGGCUCAACCUGGGAACGGGCGCGCGAAACGGGAGGGCUGGAGUUCGGGAGAGGAGAGUGGAAUUCCCAGUGUAGAGGUGAAAUUCGUAGAUAUUGGGAAGAACACCGGUGGCGAAGGCGGCUCUCUGGGACCGAGACUGACGCUGAGGCGCGAAAGCGUGGGGAGCAAACAGG
rnacentral:rRNA from 1 species